rnacentral:rRNA from 1 species
AUUGAACGCUGGCGGCAUGCCUUACACAUGCGAGUCGAACGGCAGCACGGGUGCUUGCACCUGGUGGCGAGUGGCGAACGGGUGAGUAAUACAUCGGAACAUGUCCUGUAGUGGGGGAUAGCCCGGCGAAAGCCGGAUUAAUACCGCAUACGAUCCACGGAUGAAAGCGGGGGACCUUCGGGCCUCGCGCUAUAGGGUUGGCCGAUGGCUGAUUAGCUAGUUGGUGGGGUAAAGGCCUACCAAGGCGACGAUCAGUAGCUGGUCUGAGAGGACGACCAGCCACACUGGGACUGAGACACGGCCCAGACUCCUACGGGAGGCAGAAGUGGGGAAUUUUGGACAAUGGGCGAAAGCCUGAUCCAGCAAUGCCGCGUGUGUGAAGAAGGCCUUCGGGUUGUAAAGCACUUUUGUCCGGAAAGAAAUCCUUGGCUCUAAUACAGUCGGGGGAUGACGGUACCGGAAGAAUAAGCACCGGCUAACUACGUG